AUGGUGGACCCUCAAAGCUAAGAGCUUUUUAAGCAUGGAUUAAUUAAAAGCAACACGAGGAGGUCCACUUCAGCACAUGGCAGGGUUCAUCAUCAUCACCAUACUGAAGCCACCCUCCUCUCAUUGACCAGAGGAGAUCUGGGAAGGUUAUUGCACAGCUCCUGUAAACGUAUAACCCAAGGAGACAGCCAACUUGAUUAUGUGGAUAUUCACCGCAGAUGUGAGGUCGCAGGGGCAGCUGUCUAAGCAGGGACUCCCAGACUUCCUUCACUUCCUCCAGCUUCUCCGGGGGGACCCUGCGGCAUUCCCAGGCCAGCCGAGAGACAAAGUCCCUCCAGUGUGUCCUGGGUCUUCUCCGGGGCCUCCUUCCGGUGGGACAUACCCAGAACACCUCCCCGGGGAAACGCCCAUGAGGCAUUCGGAAGAGAUGCCCGAGCCACCUCAGCUGGCUCCUCUCGACAUGGAGGAGCGGCGGCUCUACUCCGAGCUCCUCCCACUUGUAUCCACAAUCUUGUCCUUUUGGUCAUUACGCAGUGCUCAUGACCAUAGGUGAGAGUAGUAACGUAGACUGACUGACCGAUAGUCGAACCUCAGAUCCAGGAGGAGCAGUGUGGUUUUCGUCCUGGCCGUGGAACAGUGGACCAGCUCUACACUCUCCUUCGGGUGCUCGAAGGUUCAUGGGAGAUUGCCCAGCCAGUCCACUUGUGGAUCUGGAGAAGGCAUUCGACUGUGUCCCUCAUGGUGUCCUGUGGGGGGUGCUCUGGGAGUAUGGGGUUAAAUUGCUCCUAUAUUUAACACAUUUGUGAAAUAUUGUUCCUCCAUAUAUAUUUUCUGUGUCCAGCUAACUCACCCUGCCUAAAACUCAAGUAUAGCCUCCAAUAAGUUUGAAAUUAUUUCUUAGUUUUUAUUAUAUUACUUUCAUCAUAUAGAUUUUUAAUUACUGGUGGUCUUUUGAGAUACGACAAGAAUCUGUUUUGUGAGAAGUUUUUUAAUUCUAAUCUAAACUGACACUAUAACAAUACCUGACUGCUGAACAUGACCAAAACAAAAUACCUCAUUCACAGUCAGAGGCUCUCUCAGUGAAAAAGUAACAUCUUGUCAGACAAAGAGUGGGCGUUUAAGCACCUGUUUAGUAGUGUAUCAAACUUAAAGGUGGUUUAUGUCUGUUUUAGAGAUGUUGACGUCAGUGGCUUCAUUAAAAAAAAAAAAUCUGCUCUAUAUAGACAGACUCACUACAAAUACCUGAUCGCUUUGUUGUAGCAAGUGGCCACUU